UCUCUCUCUCUCUCACGCUUAGGGUUUCAUCCUGCAUGUGACAUUCUGCUAUGGAACAGAUGCAAAAAGGCCCGGCAAUAACAUUGAGCAUCCACCCUUUGCACGGUGCAUGCAGAGAGAGGCUUCCUCCUAGCACAGAGGGCACAAGAACAUCCAUGCUACUUUGGCUGUGUGAAAGCUACUUAAUGAUUGGGUAAUAUUACCUAUACACAACAGCAAAAUAUAUUAGAUUAAUAUUGGCUAUUACUAGUGCUUCCAACAUGUCAAAAAGACACAAGCUUGUUGGAGAGAUGAGUCCAUCAACAGAGACAUCCCAUUCCUCUACUGCAUGGGGAAAGUAGGAGCUUUGUCACAAAGACAUGGGUGUAGAGUUGAUUAAUCCACCAGAAUAAAAAAAAAGAGCAUGUUGGAUCUGGCUAUGGA
rnacentral:lncRNA from 1 species